CUUGCUGCUCCGAGAUCCCCAACAGAUUCGCCUGAUUUAUUGCAAUCAGUUACCGUGUGCUACCGCGGGGAGGCUACUGCUGAAGUCUUGAUAAUGUAGAGGCUAUGUACUGGCAGGAAAGACUUACUCACUCGGCUUUCUUUUCGCAAAAAAAUAUUGCUAGCCAGCGGCAUAAGACAUCCAAAGGACAGUCCCAUACACUAGACGCAUAACAUUACCCUGUGAUGCACUACCAUCACCAACACACU
rnacentral:lncRNA from 1 species